AGGGGUUGGAAGCUAGGGUUUCAGAGGCUGUAUUUUUGGUGGACGGACAAAAUCGUGUGUCCACGGCAGAGAAUAAAAGCCACGUGGAGAUCAUCCCAGGAUUUGUUCAAAGCUCUCCCAUGGCCCCUGGGGCCCUGCCACUGGGCAGAGUGGCCCAGGAGGCUUUUUAGAUCUCUAGGGUGUUACAACUUUGCUGUGGCCUUGGCAGUGAUGGAGGAGGGACACUGGGAACACGUUAGAAGACAGGUAUUGAACUGAAAUCAAAUUUACGAGCACACGUGUUUAUUGGGCCUUUGUGCAGGGACAGGGGGAUUGAGUGACUUCAGCACGGAGGCAGGAGAGCAACUCUGACCGCUGGCGCUGGCCCAAGCAGAGCAGAAUGAACGCCACGAGCAGCAGUUGAAGGAAGAAUGUGGCUACGGAGCAAAACAUGGAAGACAGAGGCACCUUGCAACGAUUCCUCUAUUUGGGAUUCCAGGCCUGUGUCCCCUUCUUCCUGAGGCCAUGCAGACACAAAUGAUUAGUUUAGAAGACAUUUGCAUCUUUGACAGGACCUUGUUUUCGUUAAAUAAAGCUAUUGUUAGAGUUACA